rnacentral:rRNA from 1 species
UACGUAGGGGGCAAGCGUUGUCCGGAUUUAUUGGGCGUAAAGAGCGUGUAGGCGGCUAAAUAGGUCCGUUGUGAAAACUCGAGGCUCAACCUCGAGAUGCCGAUGGAAACCAUUUGGCUAGAGUCCGGAAGAGGAGAGUGGAAUUCCCGGUGUAGCGGUGAAAUGCGCAGAUAUCGGGAGGAACACCAGUGGCGAAGGCGGCACCCUGGAUCAGCACUGACACUCAGGCACGAAAGCGUGGGGAGCAAACAGG